GGAAUCUAGAGAGGCAGUCUGGCCACAGACUCUUUGCUGCAGUGUGCUGCUUUUAAUUGGUAGACUUUGUUGAGUGUGUCACCAUCAACCACACACAAAAAAUGGAAACAUGUAUGAAUGACUCUUAAAGAAUUAAUAGAUUCAAGCCUGCUGAUUCCUUGUCAACAGGUCUACAUGAAGAAGAAAUGAUGGGACCAAACAAUCAGGAAGCAGGGAAGCACUGCACCAGCUCCUAACACAAGAGUGCAACAUGUUAUCCACUAGAUAUGACACAACCAGAUUGCCCCUACAGCCAAUGCUUCAGGAAGAAACAGCCUUAUACUCACAGGCCUCUGAGCCCAAGCCAAGCCAUCGCACCCCCUGUGACUUGCACGUAUAUGCCCAGAUGGCCUGAAGUAACUGAAGAAUCACAAAAGAAGUGAAAAUGCCCUGCCCCACCUUAACUGAUGACAUUCCACCACAAAAGAAGUGUAAAUGGCCAGUCCUUGCCUUAACUGAUGACAUUCCACCACAAAAGAAGUGAAAAUGGCCUGUUCCUGCCUUAACUGAUGACAUUAUCUUGUGAAAUUCCUUCUCCUGGCUCAUCCUGGCUCAAAAUCUCCCCUACUGAGCACCUUGUGACCCCCACUCCUGCCCGCCAGAGAACAACCCCCCU
rnacentral:lncRNA from 10 species